GGUCUUGUGGUCUAGUGGUAUGGUAAGUCAGCACUACACAACACACCAGUAAUGUAUUAGCACUAACAUGUAAUCUCUAGAUUCUCGCUUAGGGUAUACCCUGAGUUAACUUGCGAGAGGCCCCGCGUUCGAGUCGCGGCAAGACCC